rnacentral:rRNA from 1 species
GACGAACGCUGGCGGCGUGCUUAACACAUGCAAGUCGAACGGAAAGGCCCUGCUUUUGUGGGGUGCUCGAGUGGCGAACGGGUGAGUAACACGUGAGUAACCUGCCCUUGACUUUGGGAUAACUUCAGGAAACUGGGGCUAAUACCGGAUAGGAGCUCCUGCUGCAUGGUGGGGGUUGGAAAGUUUCGGCGGUUGGGGAUGGACUGGCGGCUUAUCAGCUUGUUGGUGGGGUAGUGGCUUACCAAGGCUUUGACGGGUAGCCGGCCUGAGAGGGUGACCGGCCACAUUGGGACUGAGAUGCGGCCCAGACUGCUACGGGAGGCAGCAGUGGGGAAUAUUGCACAAUGGGCGGAAGCCUGAUGCAGCAACGCCGCGUGCGGGAUGACGGCCUUCGGGUUGGAAACCGCUUUCGCCUGUGUCGAAGCGUGAGUGACGGUAAUGGGUAAAGAAGCACCGGCUAACUACGUG